rnacentral:rRNA from 1 species
UAAGCGGAGGAAAAGAAACUAACAAGGAUCCCCUAGUAACUGCGAGUGAAGCGGGAAAAGCUCAAAUUUAAANUCUGGCGGUCUUUGNCCGUCCGAGUUGUAAUUUAGAGAAGCGUCUUCCGCGCUGGACCGUGCACAAGUCUCCUGGAAUGGAGCGUCAUAGAGGGUGAGAAUCCCGUCUUUGGCACGGAUGCCUGGUGCUUCUGUGAUGCGCUCUCGAAGAGUCGAGUUGUUUGGGAAUGCAGCUCAAAAUGGGUGGUGAACUCCAUCUAAAGCUAAAUAUUGGCGAGAGACCGAUAGCGAACAAGUACCGUGAGGGAAAGAUGAAAAGCACUUUGGAAAGAGAGUGAAACAGUACGUGAAAUUGUUGAAAGGGAAACGCUUGAAGUCAGUCGCGUCGACCGAGACUCAGCCUUGCCUUGGCUUGGUGUACUUCUCGGCCCGACGGGUCAGCAUCAAUUUUGCCCCUCGGAUAAUGGCAAGGGAAAGGUGGCACCUUUACGGGUGUGUUAUAGUCUCCUGUCGAAUGCGAGGGGUGGGAUUGAGGAACUCAGCGCGCACCUCAGUGUCGGGGCUUCGGCCCACGUCACGCGCUUAGGAUGCUGGCGUAAUGGCUUUAAACGACC